GUUUUUAUGGCCCGUUGGUCAAGUGGUUAAGACACCACCCUUUCACGGUGGUAUCAUGGGUUCGAAUCCCGUACGGGUCA
rnacentral:tRNA from 1 species